rnacentral:rRNA from 1 species
UCGGAUUGUAGUCUGCAACCCGACUACAUGAAGCUGGAAUCGCUAGUAAUCGCGGAUCAGAAUGCCGCGGUGAAUACGUUCCCGGGUCUUGUACACACCGCCCGUCACACCAUGGGAGUUGUCAACGCCCGAAGCCGGUGGCCGAACCGGAAGGAGGGAGCCGUCGAAGGCGGGGACAAUAACUGGGGUGAAGUCGUAACAAGGUAAC